rnacentral:misc_RNA from 1 species
UCACCAUAUCAAGCUUGGCUUGUUGUUGGGCCCUUUGUCACCUGGUGACAGGUCCGAAAGACAAUGACCGGCGUCAUCCCGACUCCAUAUGCAACGAGCUUAUAACAGCACGCAUCUGGUGGUUGUGUGACCCGUGGGAAGCCUCUGGCACCCCUCUUAUUCUCAA